GACGAACGCUGGCGGCGUGCUUAACACAUGCAAGUCGAACGGAUUGCUUGGUGCUUGCACUGAGUGGUUAGUGGCGAACGGGUGAGUAACACGUGAGUAACCUGCCCCCUUCUUUGGGAUAAGCACCUGAAAGGGUGUCUAAUACUGAUUAUUCUGCUGGAAUCGCAUGGUUUUGGUUGGAAAGGUUUUUUCUGGUGGGGGAUGGGCUCGCGGCUUAUCAGCUUGUGGGUGGGGUAAUGGCUUACCAAGGCUUUGACGGGUAACCGGCCUGAGAGGGUGACCGGUCACAUUGGGACUGAGAUACGGCCCAGACUCCUACGGGAGGCAGCAGUGGGGAAUAUUGCACAAUGGACGAAAGUCUGAUGCAGCGACGCCGCGUGAGGGAUGAAGGCCUUCGGGUUGUAAACCUUUUUCGCUUUUGACCAAGGCAGCAUUUUGGUGUUGUUGAGGGUAUGAGGUAAAGAAGCUCCGGCUAACUGCGUGCCAGCAGCCGCAGUAACAC
rnacentral:rRNA from 1 species